rnacentral:misc_RNA from 1 species
UUUCUUCCUUCUUCUCCUCAGCAGGGGCUGCAGCGGCUCCACCGGCAGGGGCAGCGACUGCAACAGCACCACCACCAGAAGGUACUGAAGCCAACUUUUCUCUGCCAGCAGCAAUCAGCUCUGUGAUAUCUUUGCCAUCGACUUGAGACAAGAGCAGUUGAAUUCUGUCAUCAUCAGCCUCAGCACCAACACAACCGAGGAUAUUCUUCAAGUCUUUUGCUGAAGGUGAUGCAUUACCACCCAAAACAGCCAACAAAUAAGCAGCAAUAACCUUCAUUUCUUCUUUGAGGAGAAUUGGAAGCUACGAGAAACUUCUUCAAUGGUAGAUUUGGGACUGCUAUUAGGGUUUCG